rnacentral:piRNA from 1 species
UACGACCCGAAGAGGUUCUUUGUAUGACUCU